rnacentral:rRNA from 1 species
AUUGAACGCUGGCGGCAGGCCUAACACAUGCAAGUCGAGCGAGCGGCGGACGGGUGAGUAAUGUCUGGGAAACUGCCUGAUGGAGGGGGAUAACUACUGGAAACGGUAGCUAAUACCGCAUCCCAUCAGAUGUGCCCAGAUGGGAUUAGCUGGUAGGUGGGGUAACGGAUCACCUAGGCGACGAUCCCUAGCUGGUCUGAGAGGAUGACCAGCCACACGGGAACUGAGACACGGUCCAGACUCCUACGGGAGGCAGAAGUGGGAAAUAUUGCACAAGGGGCGCAAGCCUGAUGCAGCCAGGCCGCGGGGGUGAAGAAGGCCUUCGGGUGGUAAAGCACUUUCAGCGGGGAGGCGUUACCCGCAGAAGAAGCACCGGCUAACUCCGUGCCAGCCGCCGCGGUAAUUC